ensembl:lncRNA
GCGCACGUGCACCACGCGGGAGGCUCGUUUCCUUGAAAACUGCAGCGCUUCGAUCCAAAAGCGCAGAUCAGCGGCUCCUUCUAGUUUCGAAAUUUUGUUCCGUUUUGGUCGCGGAUCGCUUUGCUGACUCUUUGUCUGCGCGCUUCAGCUUUAACCUCAUCCCACCGUGCCAGACAAACUUCUCUUUCAUCUCCUCGCCUAUUUUUAUUUACUUUACAUUCAUUCGAUCGUAUAUGCGUAAUAAAAUCUACUUACUUUAACGCGUUAAGAGCCGAUUUCUUCUGCCUCUGACUGGGGCGUGGCAGCUCAGGGCUACAGGGUGCAGUGAAAACGUCUCCCGACCGGGAGGCUCCGGGGAGGGGAUCAGCCGCCAGUAACACUCAGAAACACUGAGCGGUGGAAACGACCUUUACGCACCGAUCAACUGAAGGUGUACCCGGGGGUCCGGGUGAAGAUCACGGUCAAGGAGUUGCUGCGGAGGCACAGAGAGAAGGAGGCCAACAACAAGAAGCUUAAUGCGCAGAUGCAUCAGGCUUGCUUGGAACUACAGGAGCUUCGCGCGUCCACUUUCCAAAGUGGCCAUGUGGCUCCUCCUCCCUCUGUCCCCCCAGCUGAAGCCAGCAGCUGCGGGUCGCUGGCCCUCCAGCUUCGAGCCACCAUCUCGUUUCCAGUCCCUGACAGCGCGUGCAACAUCCAGAUGCAGGAGUGCGGCAUCCAGGUGCAGCAGCAGCAGCAGUUUGGGGAUGUGAUGUUGCCCGGCAACGGAUACGGUGGUACCACCUACGACACCCCUCUGCCUCCUUUUCCAACCUCCCCUCAGCCUUGGUACCACGGACUGUCCUCAGAUGCGGACUACUACGGCCAGGGGAUGGCCCCUUGCUCCUCAUUGGAGUCACUGACUUUCUGCAACCCUGUGGAUCCCAACACUUAUUCCCCACAGGACUCCUUCUCUUCCUCCUCCUCCUCCUCAUGCUAUGACUCGCCCACCAGAAUGGAGUCAAGCUUCAGCCCACAGCAAUACCACUAUCAGCACUGUGGCCCCCAGGAAUAUUACAGCUUGCCACACUGUUGGUCAGGCCAGCAGGAGAGCCCCCCCACCCCAGAAUGCGCACCUUACUUUGCUCCCACAGACUAUCCCCAGGUGUAUCCUGUAGAAGACAGCUGUUUCCAGAAGGAUUUCCCGCUGAGCUCUGAGAUGUGCUACAAUGCUUUAUGAUGAGACCGUGAACAGUAUUACUUUGUAUCCUGACUGUAAAUACGAUUUGGCUCAGUGAGGUUGUUUGCUUUGCAUUUCACUUGGUCUGCUUUACUUUAAUCAAUUCAUUUGUAAUAAAAACUAAAUGAUAUAUUUUCAUACGCUAAUGUUUUGCUGCACAAAAUAAAAAUGUGUAAAAGUCAGCACUGUGCUUGUAAUGUGCGCUUGUCUAUUGCAGAGUUUCCACUGUAAAAGUCGGGAUGUUUGCUUCAGCCAGCAGGUUCAGACUUCACCCUGUGAACAUGCCCUGUAGCCACAGGUAACAAAUAAAAGUGAAAAAUGUGGGAAGAGUGUGAAAGUAAAUAUCACAGGCUGAUAACAUGUCAGGGCUGAACUCAGCUGUAACGCAACAAU